AUUAACAUAAUGUGCGUGUAGAGCUAAGCUUGCAAGCUAAUUGUUUUGUGUUGUAAUACUGUAUUUCAUAAACAACGUACCAUAUUUACACACGUGUAUGUUGAAUUAUGCAGACUAUCGUUUUUUUUAUCGAUGUUGGUUUAGACAUGUUUACAAACUUGCUAAGUUGCUAAGCUAAAUACAAAUACAAAUGCCAGCUAAACUGUUACCAGUAAAAUUUGUUCUCAUGAUCAAACUCAAGAAACUCUAAGUACAGAUGAUGUGUUUAAAGUUAUAUGUAUUUUACUGUUGUAUUUACUUGAAGCUUUCUUAGAUUUUGAAACGAAGUAAACACGUAAUGUGUGUUGCUAAUGUUGGGGCAUGUAAUAUGUAAUACAUUAACGUUUUAAUGAAUAGUCUAACGAGUUAUAGUCGUUGUACUCUAUUGUUAUAAUAUGUAUUUUUGACUGAAUACAUGUUUGUUUUAUUUGUCUAUAUCCUAGAUUCGCAGCUGGACACAUCCUUCUACACUGUAUGCAAACAUGCAACAUCAUUACACACAGUACAAGGAGUCAGACUGGCAUAUGAGGAGCAAAGGAACCCAGGCAGUAGCAUCGUUUCACAAUGUUUCCAUCACCAUCAUCAGUGGAUGCCUUUGCCGUCCGUAGCCUGAGAUUUCAGAUUUGCAGCAAAAAAAAUUUGAUUUUCUCAUUUAUUGGAAUGCUGUGCAGGUAUUUGUACCUUGCAGCCAUACAUUACAAUGUCACCAAGCCGUAACAAAAGCAGGAGAGGGAAAGUACAAGGCUAUGUUCCCAAAACACACAAGUGACAUACCUUAUGUGGAGGAUGUGAUCAGGCUUGUGUUUGAUGAGGUAUUUGAAGAUAAGCUGAAGGAAACCCCGAUUCCAAUGGACCUGGCAUCACAGUUUGAGAGACCUUCAAAGGAGGACGUGAUUGCAUGCCAUCUUCAGUGCAGGGGUCGUCGAAAGCCAAAAUUGUGACCGAUCUGAUCAGGAAGCUCCAAGCGUAUCUGGAGAACAACACACGACAGGAUGAUAACCUUAUAGUGUCGUCUUAAAUAGCACCAGCUGACAAAGCUUUGAUAUGCCAUUUAUCUGAAUAGAUAGCUGUAAGAAAUGAAUUGAACAAUUUUUGAA